rnacentral:rRNA from 1 species
UACGAAGGGUGCAAACGUUGCUCGGAAUCAUUGGGCGUAAAGCGCACGUAGGCGGCUUGCCAAGUCGGACGUGAAAUCCCUCAGCUCAACUGAGGACGUGCAUCCGAAACUGGCGAGCUUGAGUACUGAAGAGGAGCGCGGAAUUCCCGGUGUAGAGGUGAAAUUCGUAGAUAUCGGGAGGAACACCAGUGGCGAAGGCGGCGAUCUGGGCAGAUACUGACGCUGAGGUGCGAAAGCGUGGGGAGCAAACAGG